ACCUCUAAACAUCCGGUUCGGUU
rnacentral:siRNA from 1 species